rnacentral:rRNA from 1 species
UACGUAGGGCGCAAGCGUUGUCCGGAAUUAUUGGGCGUAAAGAGCUCGUAGGCGGCCUGUCGCGUCUGCUGUGAAAUCCCGGGGCUUAACCCCGGGCGUGCAGUGGAUACGGGCUGGCUGGAGGCAGGCAGGGGAGAACGGAAUUCCCGGUGUAGCGGUGAAAUGCGCAGAUAUCAGGAGGAACACCAAUGGCGAAGGCAGCUCGCUGGGACGGUACUGACGCUGAGACGCGAAAGCGUGGGGAGCAAACAGG